rnacentral:rRNA from 1 species
UACGUAGGGGGCAAGCGUUGUCCGGAUUUAUUGGGCGUAAAGCGCGCGCAGGCGGUCUAUUAAGUCUGAUGUGAAAGCCCACAGCUCAACCGUGGAGGGCCAUUGGAAACUGGUAGGCUUGAGUGCAGGAGAGGAGAGCGGAAUUCCCGGUGUAGCGGUGAAAUGCGUAGAUAUCGAGAGGAACACCUGCGGCGAAGGCGGGUUGCUGGGCUGACACUGACGCUGAUGCGCGAAAGCUAGGGGAGCGAACGGG